rnacentral:rRNA from 1 species
UACGAAGGGGCUAGCGUUGUUCGGAAUCACUGGGCGUAAAGCGCACGUAGGCGGAUCUUUAAGUCAGGGUGAAAUCCCGGGGCUCAACCUCGGAACUGCCUUUGAUACUGGGGAUCUCGAGUCCGGGAGAGGUGAGUGGAAUUGCGAGUGUAGAGGUGAAAUUCGUAGAUAUUCGCAAGAACACCAGUGGCGAAGGCGGACUCACUGGCCCGGUACUGACGCUGAGGUGCGAAAGCG